GGCACGGUGGCGAAGUGGUAACGCAGCGGUCUGCAAAACCGCGAUACAGGGGUUCGAUUCCCCUUCGUGCCU
rnacentral:tRNA from 2 species